rnacentral:antisense_RNA from 1 species
AUGCAAACAGCGGGAGCUUCCCGAGGCCCCACCGCUUCCUCCCAGCGCGUAGGCCAGUGGGAGAUUCUCCAGCCAUGUCAAAUGGGGAAAUGAGUAUGGAGAAUUUUGAGGGGAAGGACAUUGAGGCGGAAGGACACUGAUUUUAGGGGCAAGGCUGGACAUCCCAUAUGUCAAUUUAAUCCACAUUCCAGUGACCAGAAUUCACAUAGCAGUUUCUGCCACUAAGGACAUGAAUGAAAAAAUUUAAGCAAACUAAAGGUGUGUAUUUGUUCAUUCAUGCACUGCUAUAAAGAAAUACCUGAGACUGGGUAAUUUAUAAAGAAAAGAAGUUAAUUGACUCAGUUCUGCAGGCAAUACAGGAAGCAAGAUGCUGUCAUCCGCUUGGCUUCAGGUCUCCAGCUCACUGAAAACAGCCUCCCCUGAUGAGCACACCAUUGUUAUGUAAUAGCCUAACCCUUACCCCUCGCCUAUCAGGGGGUGCCAAGCCUGCAGACUCACUCUGCUUUCCUCAUAACUGCCCUGAGGAGAAGGCUGAAGACUGAGGAAUCCUCUUUC